GACGAACGCUGGCGGCGUGCUUAACACAUGCAAGUCGAACGGAAAGGCCCUGCUUUUGUGGGGUGUUCGAGGGGCGAACGGGCGAGUAACACGUGAGUAACCUGCCCUUGACUUUGGGAUAACUGCAGGAAACUGGGGCUAAUACCGGAUAGGAGCUCCUGAUGCAUGGUGGGGGUCGGAAAGUUUCGGAGGAUGGGGAUGGACUGGCGGCUUAUCAGUUUGUUGGUGGGGUAGUGGCUUACCAAGGCCUUGAAGGGAAGCCGGCCUGAGAGGGUGACCGGCCACAUUGGCACUGUGAUACGGCCCAGACUCCUACGGGAGGCAGCAGUGUGGAAUAUUGCCCAAUGGGCCGAAGCCUGAUGCAGCAACGCCGCGUGCGGGAUGACGGCCUUCGGGUUGUAAACCGCUUUCGGCUGUGACGAAGCGUGAGUGCCGGUACUGGGUGAAGAAGCACCGGCUAACUACGUG
rnacentral:rRNA from 1 species